GGCAUCGUGGCGGAAUUGGUAUACGCUACGGACUUAAAAUUCGUCGCCCAAAUGGGAUUGAGGGUUCGAGUCCCUCCGAUGCUACCA
rnacentral:tRNA from 1 species